UACGAAGGGAGCGAGCGUUGUUCGGAAUCACUGGGCUUAAAGCGUGCGUAGGUGGAUUGGUAAGUAAGGAGUGAAAUCCCAGGGCUUAACCCUGGAACUGCUCUUUAGACUGCCUGUCUGGAAUUCGGAAGAGGUUGGUGGAACUCCCAGUGUAGAGGUGAAAUUCGCAGAUAUUGGGAAGAACACCGGUGGCAAAGGCGACCAACUGGUCCGACAUUGACACUGAGGCACGAAAGCGUGGGUAGCAAACAGG
rnacentral:rRNA from 1 species